UACGAAGGGGGGCUAGCGUUGUUCGGAAUUACUGGGCGUAAAGCGCGCGCAGGCGGCUAUCCAAGUCAGUGGUGAAAGCCCGGAGCUCAACUCCGGAACUGCCAUUGAAACUGUUUAGCUUGAGGACGAGAGAGGUGAGUGGAAUUCCCAGUGUAGAGGUGAAAUUCGUAGAUAUUGGGAAGAACACCGGUGGCGAAGGCGGCUACCUGGACCGGUUCUGACGCUGAGGCGCGAAAGCGUGGGUAGCAAACAGG
rnacentral:rRNA from 1 species